AGGAUAGAAGAGCCACAGUAGAAGAGAGAGGAAGAGGAGUCCGCCAGGUGGGAUGCUGCAAGCCGCUGGAUAGCACGGCGGAGAUAGGGCGUUCCUGCCCCGCAAGCCUCCCUGCGACCGCAGGCCUCCGGCCGCCUUCUUCCAGGAAGACGCGCCCUGCUUUCUUCUGAUGUUGGUAGAGACGCUGCAAAGCGCAUCGUCCUCGAGCAUUUCUUCUCUCCCCAAGACCCUCCGAAGGAGCAUUUCUUCUCUCCCCAAGACCCUCCGAAGGAAGGAUGGGCGGACAGACUAAGUGGUCAAACGCGCAGAGCUCCAGCUUCCGCAGGAGCAUUUCCCGAGUGUCUUUCAUGGAUCUGGAUUUUCAUCUGGUAUUGGAUUCCUUCUGCCCGGAAGACUCCUUUGACGUUUCUGUAGUGUGGGUCAGCUGGUAGUGAAUUCGGUCAGCUUAUGAACUCAAAAGAGGUGUAGGAGGAGAGAAGCUCAAUUAUCACCCUGGUCUCCUGGAGUAUCCCAGGCACAGUCCCAAGAGUUCAGCUUUUCAUACUCGAGUUCCUGGGUCCUGAAGGCCUUUUUGGGGAAAGUACUGAUGUUCGUGUCAAGGUUGGGAAGAAAGGGUUUGGGAGGAACCAAGCAACAGGGAGGCAAAGAGAAGACAUCAACAAGCGAGGCAAGAACUUUCCACAGGCUCACACUGGAUACAGGACCAGAGACAAGAAGCUGGCGAAGCCUAUAUGGGUUCCCGAUGUCACAUCGCAGCUACCGCAUUGGAGGGUUAAGAGCCGCUGACAAAUCUCUUUCGGGAAGGGAAGAAGAGUUCCAAACAAAAGAUCUACUACCCUGAGAAGCGGUGAAGUGCUCCUGGGGCCCACCAAGGCCACACAAGUCAAGGAGUGGAUGGCCUUGCCCCAGCUAUGGCUCAGAUCACCUUUGCAGGAUGACAUCUUGUUGGGAGAUGGUCAUCAGAGACAGGGCCAUGGAAGACGCUGUCAGGAGGAGGCACAGAGGAAAGGCUAUGGGAGCACAAAGCAAGAAAGUGGCCUUCUGCAAGCCAGGAAGAGAGGCCUCCCCAGAAACCAACUCUACCAGCACAUUGAUCUUGGACUUUUGGCCUCUAGAACAUUGAGAAAAUAAAAGUCUGCUGUUAAACC
rnacentral:lncRNA from 1 species